rnacentral:rRNA from 1 species
UACGUAGGGUGCAAGCGUUAAUCGGAAUUACUGGGCGUAAAGCGUGCGCAGGCGGUGAUGUAAGACAGAUGUGAAAGCCCCGGGCUCAACCUGGGAACUGCGUUUGGGACUGGCAAGCUAGAGUACGGCAGAGGGGGGUGGAAUUCCACGUGUAGCAGUGAAAUGCGUAGAUAUGUGGAGGAACACCGAUGGCGAAGGCAGCCCCCUGGGCCGAUACUGACGCUCAGGCACGAAAGCGUGGGGAGCAAACAGG